rnacentral:ncRNA from 1 species
GCGGUACGCGAGCUGGGUUCAGAACGUCGUGAGACAGUUCGGUCCCUAUCCGUCGUGGGCGUAGGAAAUUUGAGAGGCGCUGUCCUUAGUACGAGAGGACCGGGAUGGACAUACCUCUGGUGUACCAGUUGUCGUGCCAACGGCAUAGCUGGGUAGCUAUGUAUGGACGGGAUAAGUGCUGAAAGCAUCUAAGCAUGAAGCCCCCCUCAAGAUGAGAUUUCCCAACUUCGGUUAUAAGAUCCCUCAAAGAUGAUGAGGUUAAUAGGUUCGAGGUGGAAGCGUAGCGAUACGUGGAGCUGACGAAUACUAAUCGAUCGAAGACUUAAUCAA